UUUUGGGAGGUAAAGGGUACUGUUGGAGGAAGCCUGGAUGUUCAGGACACCUGUAGACACGGAAUCCUUGAGUCUUUAUUUGCGUUUUUGUUCAUGGCUUGACCAUUGUCCUAGUAGCACUUGGAAGUGAGGGAGCCCAUGAUGUGGGAUUCCUGGUGGAUAGGAGAGAGGACCGAGAACCGCAGGGAACAACUCGGGACGGAUAAACAACGUUUUAAAUUUAUGGUGCCUUCAGAAUAUACUACUGUUGUUGAUUUUAUUGUUGUUUUUUUCACUCCGCUUUUAGGAUAGUCUACUGGGAAACUUCCCUCUGUUUUCCCAGCAGAGCAGCAGGGAGGUUGGAGAGUGAGCAGCGCCACCCUGAGGCCAGGGAGGCAAUGGCGUCAGGAACGGAAGCCUGCCGCUUAGGUCGAGCAGCUGCGCGAUCACAUGGCCCCGGCUACAUUUAGAGGUCUAUUUUUUAGUCUUCAUGCAAAAAAUAUAUUUUCGUUACAGAUGCUUCUAAACAAAAUGUCAGCUGCUAGCUAACGGCGAUGACCAAUCCCCAGAGCCCCUUCAGAGUCCGGCCCCCAACUUCCCAGCAGCCCCAAGGGUUGGCCUCAAAGUUGCUGUGUGGAUGAAGAUGAACUUGGACUCCUGAUCCUCUUUCCUCUACUUCCCAAGUGCUGAUGUAAUGGAUUCUGUCACCAUGCUUACCUUACAGGGUCAUACACGGCUCAUGUUCAAGUGUUAGGUUCUCUGGGGCUGCGUAAAUGGACAACUG
rnacentral:lncRNA from 1 species